AAGUCGUAACAAGGUUUCCGUAGGUGAACCUGCGGAAGGAUCAUUAACACGUAUCCAACGUUAAACCCCUCCCCUCAAUUUCGGUCUUUUGGCAAUCUCUGGUAAAUCAUCGCCGAACAGUUUUGAUUCAGAGACAUCCAAAGGGCCGGGGUAGGGUAUUGAAGUAGUUGUCCCAUGCAAGCAGCCUGGUUUCUUGGAAGCAGAAAGUGUGAUAGAAGAUGUCGGAGAACGGACCGAGUGGUAGUUCGAAGAUGACUUCUGUCGCGCGCUGUGAAAAAGAAGACGCUUUACGAAUCACUGACCAACACGGCCAGUGACCGGGUUCCUGGGUCCUAGACCCCCUGAUCACCCCGACAGUCGCAGACGCGGGUAGGGAUACGUCCUUACCAAAAAAUAAAUACUUGAACAACUGUUAACAAUGGAUAUCUUGGUUCUC
rnacentral:misc_RNA from 1 species